rnacentral:rRNA from 1 species
GACGAACCGUGCGAACGUUGUUCGGAAUCACUGGGCUUAAAGGCGCGUAGGAGCGGGUAUCCAAGUCAGGGGUGAAAUCCGGCAGCUUAACUGUCGAACAGCUUCUGAUACUGGAUGUCUUGAGGGGGGUAGGGGCAUGUGGAACUUCCGGUGGAGCGGUGAAAUGCGUAGAUAUCGGAAGGAACGCCGGUGGCGAAAGCGACGUGCUGGACCCUUUCUGACGCUGAGGCGCGAAAGCCAGGGGAGCAAACGGG